AGAGUUUGAUCAUGGCUCAGAUUGACCGCUGGCGGUAUGCUUAACACAUGCAAGUCGAACGGUAACAGUCCCUCACCUAGAAAUUUCUUAAAAAGAGAUUUGUAGGUGAGGGAGCUGACGAGUGGCGGACGGGUGCGUAAUGUAUAGGAAUCUGCCUAGUAGUGGGGGACAACUCGGAGAAAUUCGAGCUAAUACCGCAUAAGCCCUACGGGGGAAAACGGGGGAUCUUCGGACCUCGUGCUAUUAGAUGAGCCUAUAUUAGAUUAGCUUGUUGGUGAGGUAAUGGCUCACCAAGGCGACGAUCUAUAGCUGGUCUGAGAGGAUGAUCAGCCACACUGGGACUGAGACACGGCCCAGACUCCUACGGGAGGCAGCAGUGGGGAAUAUUGGACAAUGGGCGAAAGCCUGAUCCAGCAAUACCGCGUGUGUGAAGAAGGCCUGAGGGUUGUAAAGCACUUUCAAUUGGGAGGAAUACCUAAUAGUUAAUAGCUAUUAGAUUGAC
rnacentral:rRNA from 1 species